GUUUAUCUGUCACCCGCUUAUGGACACUUGGCUUGUCUCCACUUUUCACUUUGCGCAUGUGCUGCUGGUGGUUUGGGAGUGCAUACUUCCUAAUUUUUCGGGUGGUUUCAGAAUGUCCCGGACAGUGGAGCUCAGGGCACCUACCCUCCUGUGGGGUGCCUUUAUCCAGCGACCACGUCUGUUGUCACAAACACAGCUGGACCAGAGUACAUCAUUCGAGAUGCCAGACUGGAUGACUCAGAAGCUGAAAUCAAGGUUGAGAGGAGAAAUAUCAAUAACCUCAGAUAUGCAGAUGACACCACCGUUAUGGCCGAAAGCCAAGAGGAACUAAACAGCUUUCUUGAUGAAAUUGAAAGAGGAGAGUGAAAAACUUAGAUUAAAACUCAACAUUCAAAAAACUAAGAUCAUGGCAUCUGGUCCCAUCACUUCUUGACAAAUAGAUGGGGAAACAGUGGAAACAGUGAGAGACUUUGUUUUCUUGGGCUCUAAAAUCACUGCAGAUGGUGACUACAGCCAUGAAAUUUAAAGAUGCUUGCUCCUUGGAAGAAAAGCUAUGACCAAUCUAGACAACAUAUUAAAAAGACAUUACUUUGCUCACAAAGGUCUGUCUAGUCAAAACUAUGGUUUUUCCAGUAGCCAUGUAUAGAUGUAAGAGUUGGACCAUAAAGAAAGCUGAGCACUGAAGAACUGAUGCUUUUGAACUGUGGUGCUGGAGAAGACUCUUGAGAGUCCCUUGGACUGCAAGGAGAUCCAACCAGUCCAUCCUAAAGGAAAUCAGUCCUGAAUAUUCAUUGGAAGGACUGAUGCUAAAGCUGGAGCUUGAAUACUUUGGCCACCUGAUGGAAAGAACUGACUCAUUGGAAAAAACCCUGAUGCUGAGAAAGAUUGAAGGCAGGAGGAGAAGGGGACAACAGAGGAUGAGAUAGUUGGAUGGCAUCACUGACUCGAUGGAUAUGAGUUUGAACAAGCUCUGGGAGUUGGUGAUGGACAGGGAAGCCUGGCGUGCUGCAGUCCAUGGGGUUGCAAAGAGUCAGACAUGACAGAGUGACUGAACUGAACUGAAUUCCAUAAGACCAUGGAAUCUAGAAAAAAUAGUAUGAAGUGAAGUGAAGUCACUCAGUCGUGUCUGACUCUUUGCUACCCUGUGGACUGUAGCCUACCAGGCUUCUCCAUCCAUGGGAUUCUCCAGGCAAGAAUACUGGAGUGGGUUACCAUUUCCUUCUCCAGGGCAUCUUCCCAACACAGGGAUCAAACCCGUGUCUCCUGCAUUGGAGGCAGACGCUUUAACCUCUGAGCCACCAGGGAAGUCCAUACGGAAAAAUAGUGUAGAUGAACUUAUCUGCAAAACAGAAAUAGAGACACAGAUAUAGAGAACAGACAUAUAGAUACCAAGAGGGAAGGUGAAGCAUGGGAUGAAAUGGGGGACUGGGAUUGACGUAUAUGCACUCUAUGUAUAACGCACAUAACUAAGGAGAUCCUGCUGUGUAACACAAGGAAUUCUACUCAAUGUUCUGUGGUGACCUAAACAGGAAGGAGAUUCUAGGAAGAGGGGGAUACAUGUAUACACAUAGCCGAUUCACUUUGCUGUACAGCAGAAAGUAACAGGCACUGUAAAGCAACUACAUUCCAUGUAUUGGAAUAGAGAGAGAAAAAGAGAAGUAGGGACUCAUGUAAGGGUGGAAUGACAGGCGGUCCGGGCUUUGCUUGAAAAUACUUCAGGAAAGAAAAGAGAAGAUGAAUCAAGUGGGACCACACUCACCAUCAUUGCUGAAUCUGGUUGAUAAGUACCUGGGGUCAUUGUACCAUUUUUUCGACAUUUUAGAUAUAUGAAAACAUUUGUAACAACAACAACAAAAAACUACAUUCGAAAGCACUUUACUCACAUGACAAAAAUUACUGAAAAUGCAAAGUGUUGUGGGCAAAAGUGUACGUCUUGCCAGGGCCAAGCACGACCUGCAAGGGGCUGGUGCAGGAUGGUCAGACUUGCCCUCCCUCCCUGGGCUGCAGGGGUGGGCAGGGGGCUGCCUCUGCAGCCCACCGGCCUCACAGAGAGUCAGGGUGAGUGAGGGCUGAGCCCACUGACCCCCAGCACUGCCUGUUGGCCUGCACGGGGCACAUCUGUGGGUGAGCCCCGCUGGGCCCCGGAGUGGAAAAUCAGGGUGCCCGGGGAUUUGUGAACACGCCUGCAGACUGCUGACGUCCGGGAAUGCUGUGAAUAAAGCAAAUACCAGCCUUUGUGUGGGAAGGGCUGACAUUCAGCUGGGGCAGCGGGAUGCAAAACUGCUGAGAGCAGGCUUAAGCGCUGCAGAAACAAUGCCUGGGAUCACCCUCAAGGCCCCACUUCCUGCCGACGCAGGGCUUUGCCAGGGUCCGGCCCCAAACUCCUGACGGGUCCCGAUUUGCUCAGAUGUUAGAGAGAUGAUGUUGGGGACUGUGGCUCAUGCUCCCCUAAACACACACACUACACACACACCCCUUAACAUGGGCACCCCCUUGUACAGACACACACACACAUACAUACACACAGAGGUACACACGAACACAUAUACAAAAAGACAUAUGUACAAGCACUUGCAUGGACACACAGACACACAUACCCUACAUGUGCACGCCCCCAUAUAGACACACACACAGACAUACAUGCACAUACACACAUAGAAAACAGACACACCAUACAAGCACUCCCCCA
ensembl:lncRNA